ACAGCCGCGGGAAGACAUGAGAGGCUGCUAGAAGGACUUCCCGCGGCCAGCGCCAUCACCUGCCCACGCCGCAGGGAGCCCUGACCAGAGCUCCAGACCUCUGGGUCCAACUGCCUUAUGGAUCCCUCUCCCUGAAUGUCACAUAGGAGAGGGGACAGGGGUUGGCCACACACCUGGAAAUGGAGUUCUCUGAUGCAAUGUCCUUUGGGGUCCGGACUGUGGUGAAGGUUCGUCCAGCUCCACGCCCACCCACUGGCCGCUGGCAAACUCCGUGGUCCCACAGAACCGCAGUGUGCCCGUCUGGGGAGAGAAGGGAGGCGAUGGCUAAGGAAGGAAUGCUGGGAGGCCAACGUGGAGUGCCCACACACGGGCAGCAAGAAAAGAAGAGAGGGCAAUGCAACCAUGGAGGCAGAGACUGGAGAGAUGUGGCCACAAGCCAAGCACUGCCUGCAGCCACCAGGAACCGGAACAGGCAAAGAAGAGAUUCUCCCCCAGAACCUCCAGAGGAGUACAGCCCUGCCGACACCUUGGUUUUGGCCCAGGAAAGCCGAUUUGGACUCCUGGCCUCUAGAACUGUUAGAAAAUAAUUUGUCUUGUUUUAAGCCACCAAGUUUGUUAGAGCAGCAUGGGAAACUAAUAGUGUAAUAAAGGGAGAAAUAAGAAUGU
rnacentral:lncRNA from 1 species